rnacentral:rRNA from 1 species
UACGAAGGGGGCUAGCGUUGCUCGGAAUGACUGGGCGUAAAGGGCGCGUAGGCGGUUUAGACAGUCAGAUGUGAAAUUCCCGGGCUUAACCUGGGGGCUGCAUUUGAUACUGCAAAUCUCGAGUCCGGAAGAGGUGAGUGGAAUUCCUAGUGUAGAAGGUGAAAUUCGUAGAUAUUAGGAAGAACACCAGUGGCGAAGGCGGUCUCACUGGUCCGG